GCCCGACGGCUCACCACACCCCGGCGGGCAGGGCCGGCAGGUUCCCUUCUUCCGCGGCAAUAACUCGUGACGCGAGCGUGGGUAGGCAAAGGCAUGCGGGCGUGUGCACGUGCAUAUGCACGUGCACGUGGCGUCUGCCCACGCGUUUCGGUGCGGAGGAGCCUCUGUGAGAUCCCCCAUGGGAGCUGCGGGUGCUGGCGGCGGCGCCGCCCAGCCCUCAGGGGAGGCGCCAGGGCACCUCGGCGGGCUCAUCUGUGGGGAGUUUCUGUCCGUCUGUCCGUCCGUCUGUCCGCAUCAGCUCGGUCCCGUCACUGCGUGAUGUGUUCGCCCUGUUUUCUCUCAGGCGACGUUCGCACAGGAUCGGGAAGUUAGAACAUGUAAAACCAAGUUUUUCAGUCACAUAGGGUUUGUUGUUGGGUUUUUUUCCCUAAAGCCUUUUGAAACAGAUGAUCUGAUUGUGGACUACCAAAAAACACUACCUGUAAAAAAAGAUGUGAGAGUUGGCUGUCCAAGGAGGUAAGCCCAUGUGAUGGUGAGUGGCUUCUGGGGAAACCAAUGAGGAAACAAGAAAAGAACACUGCUAAAACCUAAAACACACUAAUACAAAGGCAGCAUGGAGGUAAAAAAUGAAGACGAUGUGCCCAGGAAACUCCCGGUAAUUCUCCUUCACAGGGAUCAGAGUAACAUAGCAUAGUCCCAGCUUAAAUGUAGGCCAGCUGGAUUUGUGUUCAGAUAUUUAUGGGUAAACAAGGUAAAUAUGGUUGUUUGCUUACCAAGUUGUUUGCCUCCGGAUGUAAAAUAGAACAUUUGGUUUUGUAACACCAGAAGCAUUUUGGGGAAGAAAAGCUCUCCUAAUAAACAUCCUAGGUAUUACAUAGUUGCAUGGAAAAAAGAAAAAAAAGCCCCAAGAUUGUUUUGCAGUAAUGGUUUAACACUAUGAUUCCUACCAGAAACUGCAUACCCUAGUUGUUGUAGCAAGCAGAGGUUAAAUUGGCUAAAAGCAAUCAUAAGUAGGAUAGUACCUUUAUUUCCUGUAUUGUAUGAGAGUUUGUGGUUAUUUUUGGUAUUGUUUUAAGUGAAGAAUUCAAACUUUAUGGCUGCUUAAUCAGUCAUCAUCUACCCAGAGUUCUGAUGACAGCCCUGCACAGGAGCUUCCUAGAUGCUGUCAGUAGUCCAGUGCCUCACCUGUGUUAGCGCAAUUUCACCUGCUGCAAGGCCAACAGCCAUGCACAAUCACUACCUUGAACUUAUGUCAAAGAUUAGAGAAGAAAAGCAGUAACAAAGCCCAUCCAGCAAUCCCAAGGCUGGAGGUCUGGUCUAUCUAUAGUUACACAAGCUUUAUUCUGCCAGUACCUCAGCAGAUAACAUGUAAUUACUGGAUUGAAAACUGAGGUUGUUUACAGGGUUCUUAGGUUUCAGGUUUUCCUAGGUUUUUCUAGAUUGUCAUCUUUGUUUUUUCCUGUAUAGUACUGGUGGGAUUACAGAGGGACAUUAAUCCAUACAUGGAUGCACACCUUGUACCCAAAGGAAAUUCUAGAGGAAACUGCGAAGUCUUGCAGAGGCGUCACUCAUGUCUGUAUACAGAGAGCACUCUGCCUGCAACUGCAAAGCAGAACCGUUGUUCUACACAGCCAUCAGUGUAACGAGUGGUUUGCUCCCCUUGAGCACAAGGGCUCGCAGAUUGCUGGACUGUUCCCUCUUCGGUAUGUAGUGUAGAUUGAAUCAGGCAGAGGAGCUUGGCCUUAUUGUCUUGAAGCACCAGGAAAGACUGACGGACUACGUGGUGCACUCUUCCGUCGGCAGAGUGGCUACAGCGCUUCCAAUGGCUGGUAACAUCCCAUGCUACGCUGUGUGGUAGUGGUGAAUCUGGGGCCAAAGGCAGUACCAAAAACCACAGGGUAAAAUUCCAUAAGGAGCUGAUUAGCAGUUUGCUGCCCUCUGUGCUUUUGAAAUUAAUUUCUGUUGAUUUUUAAGACAUUUUCUACAAAACCAGCAUAACAGUUAAAACACAGGACUUCAAUGCAAUGCUAGAAACUGUCAUCUAGGUAUACACCUUUCUAUUCAGUGUGAUAAAAUGGUAAAAGAUAUGGGGAAUUGGUUAAAAAAAAUAGCUCAUAGGAUUUACUCUGAUUUUACUGCAAACUAACAGCUACCUUGUGUGUUAUACCUAAAGCAACUGAAAAUACCUAUCUUGUAUCUGUUGCCAAGUUCAUAAUUUACUUACUAGACUGUAACAUAGUUGCAAGUUAUUAAGGAUUGAAUCUCUGGAUUAAUUUGGUACAAUACCAUGCUAGCUCCGGUCAGAGCAAAAAAAAAAAGAUAAUUGGUACGUGGAUACAAAUUAGAGUUUAAUAUCCCAUGCAGCUGUUUACAUCUGCUUAAUUAAGCAGCAUUGACUUCACAUUAGCAUUGCUACGAUACCAGAAACACACACUAGAGAAAAAGGUACAAUCACAUUAGCCACCCUCUUACUGUCCAAUCAAUGCAAGUCAGGUACUUUUUAUUGCAGUGUUGUUUUUUAAUGGGCAAAAAAAAAAGUCUUCACAUUUCAGGAGGAUCUUCAGGUCUGAUACAUUUGGUUUUGGUACAAGUGCCAGGCUUUUAUAAAAAGACUGUGCUUCUGUAGGCAGGCAGUUUAAGCAAUAACUGAAGAGCUCUAAUGGAAAACACUAACUUAAAUAUAGUUGGAAGUCAGUGGGUGAUUUUGCUUUUGGAGCCUAUACAAGAGCAUCACAGUCAUUUUGUACAGUACAGAAGGUAAGUAAAUACUCAUCUAGAAAAACGCAGGGCUGUUUUAACACUGAUGAAGUUCAAACACUUGACUAGGUGGCACAAAUGCUUUGUUUUGUGCAUUUACCAGCAGCUCUGGCAGAGCUGCUUGGUUUGCUUUUUGAUUACGGAUCCCCUGAAGUAAUGCAGAGGCGCCUAAGUUGGUAUUUUGAGAGGUACGUACAAUUGGGACAGGCCUUGGACUAACACGAGGUAUCGCUCUAACAGAAAAAUUGUACUUUGGUCAGAACUGUCAAACUCUGUUAACCAUCAGCAUAAGAACACAACCUCCGUUGGUGCCAUUUUUAAUGAUUAGAAAUGAUACAUUGCAAAACAAAAAGUGAAAAACUUCCAGCGUGAUACUUAUAAACAAAGAACAAAUAGAAAACAAAAAAGCUUCGGUUUUGCCUGAUUUAUAGUAUUUAUAAUACAACAGAUCAUUAGUCUGAGGUAAUACCAGUAAUAACUUUCUAAUACCAGUAAUAACUUUCUAGCCCUGUAAGGACUGCUCAGAAAUAAGAACAGUGAUAGUAAUGCAAGUUACCUUAAAAGCGAGAUUUGAUUAUUAACUUCGUACUUAGGGAUCUGUGGUUGCAAGUAUAAAAUUGGAAAGAAGUCUAUACAGUAGGAACUGCAGAACACUGGAGUCCUGCAUGGUGUGUCCUCAGCCCCUGCCAGUACUCGGACCCCAGUUGCUUAUAUAAAACCCAGACAAUUCAACAGAAAGAAAAAAGACUUUGUUCCAGAAUAGCCCUUAGGAAAUUUAGAAUACUGUUAGUUUGCAUAAAAUAGCCAAACAAAAGAUGAAUUCAGAAGUCCAAAUUUUGGCAUGAGGUAAAACCAUGUGCAUUUAUUUCAUCUGCAUUUGAGAAUUAGUAAGCAUAAAAUUAAAUAUGUUGACUGUAAUGAAUUCAGUCAUACAAGUGCAAGUCUUCGGCUAGAAUGUAUUUUAUGGCAGUUUAUUUAAAAAAUGUACCAGUAAAUCAUAAAAGAGGGAUCAUGUCCACUUAACGUUUAUUGAAGUAUACAGGAGGUUUUUUUUUUAGAAUCAAAUAUGAGCAUGAAUAUAUGGCCAAACGUAAAAUCUAUCAAAUUCAGUGAAAAGUUUCUGACUUUAAAUAGUAGCUGUAAGAAUGACCAAUAUAUAUUCUUUGUUACAACCGCCCUCACUCUACAAGUAAAAAAAAAAUAAACAUUCAGUAAACAUUCUUUCCUAAGGUAGUUUCCCUUAUAUAUCAGUGAUUUAUCCAUUUGUUGUA